UUUUGUGUCUGAACUGAAGCUGAAGAUGUUCUUCACAGAGCUGGAGAUUUUUAAACCGGUGUGAAGGCUUCAUGAGUAACCGUUCACUCAGUCCAACUAUGACUUUCUUUUAAAUGUUGUUUUGCUGCUCUGCUAAAUGCAUGACGCACAAUUAUUACAUGAAAUGAGAUAAUAAAAUAACACUUAAUGUCGAUUAUUAAGAGUUGGGAUGAGCUGGGACGGUUUUCAAGCCCACUGGUUUGGAGAACGUCCUGGUUUGGGUUGGAUUCCCGGCUCGGGUCCGAUGGCGCAUGCAGCCUGGCCGAGCUGCCUCCUGCUGACCACGUUUGGCUCCGUAAUAACUGGAGAUUUGUCUUCACAUCCAACAACGAGCCCUUAAAUUACAGCCCAUGCCACCAAAAUCAGAGGCGAAAAACAACCUUUCCCUUCAGUGUGUGGAGUAUUUGCUGCUUCCCGCAGAGACUGAUGCUGCUAAUGGGCCUUAGGACAGUAACAGGCUUUUCAGAUUAGCGCUUCCAAAGCAGCUUUAGGAUUCUUGCUGGUCCCAGCUGCGGGACCUCGUGGUUGGGAGUUUGGCUCCAGGCAUUUUGUUCUUCCAGGAACGAGCGACACGUGUGUAAAAGGCGGCGUGGAAGCAGCGAGCUGUUUGUCGUGUCGUGUUGUGUUGUGUUGUGUUGUGUUGUGUUGUGUUGUGUUGUGUUGUGUUGUGCUGUGCUGUUUGUUGGUUAUGAGGCCGCGUGCGUGUCUGUCUGCGCCGGAGUUAUGGCUUUAAUUUCCCUUUUUAUGCGACUGUAAAUGAAGGCCGUUUGAAUAAAGCUACUGCGGCUCAUAAAAGUGCCCGUGUUGAGAUAGUGACCUGGUGAAGUUCACCGGUGAAGCAGCGACGAGACCAGAAAGGAUCCAUUUAAAGUCAGAUUCAGACGCCGAUGAUGUGUCUCCUGUUUUUUUUUAGUUUUCAUAGUCACACUUAAAACCGAGCUGAAGAAUUAGAACGAGGAGCCACAUGAAGUCGAAGUGACGUGGGAGGAGGCCAAGUCAAUCACACUCCAGCCGGCCCUGCAGCAAUUUAUUCCUAUUACUCAUUUCAUUUCUUCUUCAGAAUAUCAGGAAGAAAAAACACAUAAAAGGGCUCAUUCCGAAACCAUAUAUCAGGUCUAAUAGAUCAGUUUUAGAAAGACUUUGCUGCCAGACAUCUAUAAGCCAUUUAUUCCCUCGAACAUAGGUGAUUAUAAAACCAGAAAUUGAACCAAUUUACGAGAAAUAGUUUUAAAUGACUCAGCGCUAAGUCUCUGAGCAGCUACUAUGAGGCAUUAAGUGCUGAUUUAUUCAUACGGCCUCGUUUUCUGCUGCAAAUACAGUAAAUGUUCUCAGAAGAAUUUACUGAGCAUCUUAACACAUCUGUGUUGUUCUGAGCAAAAUGAGAUGCAGGGACAUAAACGUUAAUGCUGCACAUAACGCUCAUGCCGUCCACGAGUCUUUCUUUGAGUAAUGGCGUCCAACACACGCUGCUUUACCCUCAGUAUGAGUCCAUCCAGUGUCUCUGGGCUCGGCAGCUAUUUUUACUGUCUCCUCCAUGUUACAGCAGCAUUAGCAUAUGAGUCAAAGCACCAGAGGGCGACACAUGCUCGUCCUGUGCUGUCCUGCCUGCGUCGUCAGGUGGUGUUUACCUCUGCUGCUGUGUGCGAGUGUGCGGGUGGGAACGUGGGAACGUGGGAACGUGGGCGUGGGGUGAAGAUGUCUGUGAUUUACCAGCUCCGGAGCCAAGCAGAUGCUCCGCUAAGCUGCUCCUCCCUUCACUCCCCCUAAAUGUCACGCUGGAAAUGCCACAGUUACUGCCUGUCGCAUCUUCUCCCUUCACCAUUAUUUACUUUCUCCCUUUUUUAGAUCUGAUUCUAAAACACAAACCGACCUUUCAGAAAUCCGACAGAAAAAAGCAAAUUGUGUAAAAGCGCCUUUAAUCCAGGAUCUUAAACUAUAGUUUCCACAAUGGACCGUUGUGAUGCGGUGGCGUGGCCUCAUCCUGCCUCAGUCCUAAUGAGGAGGCUGAGGUAACAUCCAGGGAGGCGGGUCCCGUGUGCGUGGAUGUUUGUCUCAUGUUGGACGUUUGUCUCAUGUUGGACGUUUGUGUCAUGUUGGACGUUUGUUUCAUGAUGGAUGUUUGUCUCGUGUUGGACGUUUGUCUCGUGUUGGACGUUUGUCUCAUGAUGGAUGUUUGUCUCAUGUUGGAUGUUUGUCUCGUGUUGGACGUUUGUCUCAUGUUGGAUGUUUGUUUCGUGUUGGAUGUUUUUCUCAUGUUGUAGGUUUGUCUCGUGUUGAAGGUUUGUCUCGUAGGUUUGUCUCAUGUUGGACGUUUGUCUCAUGUUGGAUGUUGUCUCAUGUUGGACGUUUGUCUCGUGUUGGACGUUUGUCUGUGUUGGAUGUUUGUCUCAUGUUGGAUGUUUGUCUCAUGUUGGACGUUUGUCUCGUGUUGUACUGUAGGUUUGUCUCAUGUUGGAUGUUUGUCUCAUGUUGGACGUUUGUCUCAUGUUGGACGUUUGUCUCGUGUUGGACGUUUGUCUGUGUUGGAUGUUUGUCUCAUGUUGGAUGUUUGUCUCAUGUUGGACGUUUGUCUCAUGUUGGAUGUUUGUCUCAUGUUGGACGUUUGUCUCGUGUUGGAUGUUUGUCUCAUGUUGGAUGUUUGUCUCAUGUUGGACGUUUGUCUCGUGUUGUACUGUAGGUUUGUCUCGUGUUGGAUGUUUGUCUCAUGUUGGACGGUUGUCUUUAGGAGCAUGUUGAGCUGUCGUUAUCAUCUGCAGCGACUCAAUCAGCAGCGUGAGCUCGUGUGCAGAUGAUUGCUCCUCCUGAAGCUGUGACACUAAUUGAUUGAUUGUUUGUCUACAGCGGCUGGUGCUGAGUUCAAGUACCUGCCUGGCCCGGUUCAGUGCAGAACCAAACAGCGAUGACUGUGGCUCUGAUCCACAGCAUUUGCCUCAAUAACUUUGGAGAGAACACAUAAAGUCAGAUUUAUUACAAACCUGCAUCUUUGUCCUUGGCAGAACGUGCAGACGUUGUGGUGGAUGGUGGUGGUGUAAGUGACAGCACAGCACACACUGACAGUAAGUGGUGGUUUGAGUAAAUCUAUGAAAUGAUAUUUUGCGUUUUCGCAUUCGCUCCUGAACGAGUCUGGGCUGAGAAAAGAGGGAACUGAGUGGAAGAGAACGAUGAUUCAGGCAAAGCAGAAGUUUCUGGGACAGUUUUAGGAUUAUUUUUAUAGCUCCGCUGUUUUAUGGUGAAACACUGAGAUGAGCAUGAGAGACUUGAUGACAUGAAACAUAAAUCUGGAGCUGCUGUCAGAGUCAUUUACCACUUUAUGGCACUAGACGUUUCUUGGGCUGUGGCGCCACAUGGGACGGUUUUACUGCCUCAUGGGACCCGUUUCUAAGGAGCUGUUCCACGGUGCGUUUGCUCACGUUCAUUCUGAGGAGGAAUUCAGGGACUGAACAUUGUGGAGUUUUAAAAAGCAGCAUUAACACGUCGGCUGAUGUCUAAAACUGUGUGUGAGAGAGAACGCGCUGAUGCUCUGUCCUCGGUUUUAAUAACUGACAUUUCACUCUACUUAGAUGAUUCCAGCUUCCUGUUCUUCUCCUUUUGUCAGUUGAAGUUAUUUCAUUUUCUUGUUAAUAUCUGUGUUUGAAAAAUUGAAUUUCUGCCACAGGACAAAGCUCCUUUCAUGGUCAGACUGUUUCCGUCCCUUCUCUGGCUUGUGCUUCCUUUUAUCCUGCAGCUCCUCAGUCGUCUGACCUGUGCUCGGUCUCCUUCAGCUCCUCUUACAGCUUUUUAGCUCCACUUCUACUUAUCUCCCAAGUCAUUUUCCUUUCAGUGAUUUUGUAAUCAUCGUCUCAUCACGACUGUCUCCAACCUGCUCUUAAUAGGUUUCCCUGUAGCUAAUAUCGGCUCCCUGUCUCUGUACGCCAUUAGCCUCUUUAAUGAAAGCGUGACCUCCAUCUGCGGCCCCGCGUCUGUCUCCCUCUCUGCCCAUUCGCAGCUCUAGACAUCACCACAGAGAGGUGAUGGAAAAUGUCACUUCUGGUUCCUAUUCAAUUGGAUAUUAGCCGGCCCGGCUCCUCUGAGGCUGGCGCCGAGCUGCUUCUGGAGGUAGAGACCAACCAGAGCUUGCUCUGCUUGGCUUUGGAAGUUUGUCCUUUUAGAGUUUGGCAAAACAUUGGUGGGUUGUGAUGGACUGUGGUCAUCGUGGGCGCUGGUUGUCACAUGAACGGUACAGUACACACACGCUGUAUGUCAUUCAUUUUACAGGUUUGAAGGUUACAGGGAAACAUGAGUGUUGGUUGACAGAGAGAAGCUCCCUUGACCAGACAGAAAUGGCUCGUGACCAGACGUGAAGAGCAUGAAUUAAAUGUAGGCAACAGGGUGAGCGACCGUGGAAAGAGGUGAGAGAGGCGUGGCCAAGCCGAGCGGGUCGGUCCUGUACUAAAAACAGGUGUCACUGCUUCCAAACUUUAUUAGUCGAUAUUAUUAGCCUUUAUUAGCCGGGUUCUCUUUCAACCUAACGUCUUGAUUCAGAUCUUGGAUGAGAAACAGAAACGGCAUGAAUCCGCCUCCUCAUGUUGCAGCUACUGAGCAGUAAUGGCCUCGUCCUGGUUGUGUACAGCCGUCGGGCCGUCUCUUCGUGUGACACGUCCUUCAGCUGCUUCAUUACUGCCUCAAUAAUUAAUUCUCACUCUUCUUCUGAGUGCAGCUCUGAGCAGCUCCUCCCGCACGGCGCCAGCACAGCGGUCUGUGGUGUCACCGUGUCAGUGCUCGUUCUCCUCCAGGUCUUUGUGAUUCAGAGCAGGCUGCAGCACUGGGAAGCGUGGAGUCACUGGUGUCGUCUCUCACCCACAUUCACACAGUUUGCUUCAGCAAACAUUCUGCACAACUUCGAUUCAGCCCAAAAGUAACAACUGUCUUUGUAUGUUCCACGCUGGUUCUACCGCUGGUUCUACCGCUGGUUCUACCGCUGAGCCGCUGGUCUGCGCUGAGGCCUCACCAGCACAGCUUCUACUGAAAUCCCAGUCAUGCAGUGGCUGCAACGCUCAUUUUGUUGUUGCUAAAUGUCUCUGCAGGGCGACGGGAUGUUUUUAUUUCUGGUUACGAUCCUGCAGGUGGUAUCAUCGCAGACAUAAAUACAAGGCUGUAUGAUAAUAAAUCCUGACACUGCAUGUGGUCUUUAUCUCUCUGUCUCCUAGAAACACAACUGCAUAUGCUUUCCUACCUCCUCACCCACUCACACCUUCCUCCUCCCCUGCCUCCCUCUGUGGGUGCUGAUACAGUGCACUAAUCACCAGCUCAAUAAAUCAGCGGCCUGGCCAAUAACCAUUACUUCAAAUUAGAGCUGCCUGCUCCUGCAAGGAAAAGCAGCUGACACAUUCAUAAAGGCCCGUUUCAUUAGCGGCUAUCCCGGCCGAGCCAGCACAGAACCUGCAGGACGACGCUCGCAGCGGGAGGCAGAGACAGCGGGAGGCAAAGAAGAAAGAGACAGACUGCUAGGGAGAGAAAGCCUAAAGUUGUUUCCAGUAAAUAAAUCCUGGCUGCAGAUAAAUUCCCUCUGCCAGAAUUUAUCCUCCUUUAACAGAUGGGAUUGGGUUCACUGCUUCAGAGAGGCAGAAUCACUGUGUGCCUGUUCUGAAGCAGGACCCGGAUUGGAGGACCCAAGAAAUGGCAGCUUCUCUGCGCUUCUCCUUCAGAAGCCCUGCAUGUGAUGUGGGUCACAUGUAAAUGAGAGCAGCGGGCGGAGCUGGUGUCGCCCCCCAGACGCACCCCCACCGGAGACAAGGCGCUCAUUGUUCUGUGCUGCCGACUUACGUAAGCUGGUGUUCACCCACUGACCCACAGAUGGCAGUGUGGGAUAAUGUGCUGGAGACGGAGGUGUUAAUGCUCUGUGUGAGAGAUCAGGUCCAGGUCACCACACACACACACACACACACACACACACACACACACACACACACACACACACACACACACACACACACACACAAUACAGAAAUACAGACAUUAAAAGGCUUUGAGCUUCAAACCACUCGUGAGUGUCCUGCUGGAGCAAGACACAGCUGUAACACGUUUACUGCGAGCAAACCAAGUCCCAGCACUCGUUACUGCUUUGCUGACUCUGAUGCAGAAAUGAGGCUUCAUUUGUUCUUUACCUCUGCUCAGCCGGAGCGGAUGGUGGAUGAAUGAGGAAACACUGAAACAGUCCCCAUUCGAGCGACAGGCUCUCCAUUCAGACCGUAGAUAUUGUGAGGGGCUGAUGAAUGACUGAGGGGAGGGGCUCGGGUACCAGCUGACAUCUGAGUGAUGCUGCUGAGAACAAACCUCCGCUUUACAGGACAAACAACUUGUUUAUCACCAUAAAUCACUUUCUGUGAUAUUAAGAAAAAGUACAUUUACGCUUUUCACCUUGACUGCGUCUGCAUUUCUUGUGUCCGAAGUGAGCUUCUAAAAUGGUCUAUUCUCGUUUUUUUUAUUCAUUGUUGUGUCUUAACAGAAGGUCAGGAUUUGUCCGUGUCCUUUUUAUCCACACUGCUGCUCACAUUAUUUCAUGUUUCAUGAGUCUGGUGAUGUGCCGUUUGUCCCUCGGGGGCUUUGACAAUGGGAGAAAAUCCAAAUUGAAAUGAAAAUGUUUUUGACUCCUGGGAAGUUCGCACAGUCAGAGUAUUCCUCUCCAAGGUCAGACAAGGUUCAUCCUCUGAGAACCAUGAGCAGCGUGAUAUCAAGACGGGUCCUCGUCUGUAGCCUGUCAAUGGUUCCCUGCUUCAGAGCAACACAGGCUUUGCUCACAGUUAGAUUCUUUGCACAGUCUCCCUCUGCAUAUGAGAACAUUUGUCAUACAAAUAAUGAAUUAUAGGGAUGUGUAAAUGUCACUAAUGGAGGGUAAAGAUUUCAUUCUGACUGUAGCCUCACUGUUUUAAAAUGAAUCUGUUACCACGGCGAUAUAAUAUCACAUUUCACACUUAAUUAUUUCUAAAGCACGAGAAACUGUAAUUGGUUAAAUCAGGCACUUUAGAAACAAAACACUGCAAAUGAGGCAAUUUAAAGGAGCAUUAGCCAUGUAAAAUAAUACCAUAUUGUAUAUUAUAGCCCAGUUCCUCUCAGGUUUGACUGAAUGUCAUCCCAUCUCAUUAAAGGCCGCUGUGUCUCAGUGGGAAACCGGAACUUAGCCGUUUUGCAAUGAUGCAUGUUCAGCUCUGAAGUGGGGAACAAGGUGAUGCACAGAGCAGGCUCUAUUAACAUGCACAAAUCCCACAGCUUUGAUGACAGCAGCCACUCUGCAUCCACGGAGGCGGUGGCAGGUGAGGUCUAAACCAGUGACCACGCAGAGAUGUGUUGUCCCUUCAGCGCUUCUGCUCCGUCUGCUCUGUUUCUGGGCUGCACCCGGGUCGCAUCUUCCACUGACGCUGUGCAGUGUUAGUGCUAUAGCUGGCAAAUCAGCAGCUCUCCACCUUGAUUGAGCCCAAACAAGAGGUCUGAUUUCAGACAAGUCUAGGGGCAUGUCUAGAAAGUUGUGCAGCAGCCAGACUGCACCUUUGCACUGGAGGCAGCAGAUGUUGCAGAGACAAGACAAAAGGUCAAAGAUCGCAGGCGUUUGGUCCUGUAGGAGGGAUUAAGUCCUUAAAUAAAUGCAGAUCAACGCUCCCAACACAGUGUUUGUACAGAGCCGUGAAGGUCCCAGGAUGAGCAACGCGCUUGAGCUAUUUCUAUUAUCUGUGGGAGUUGGGUUUCUCACACUGUGGUUCAAACACUUUAGAAAUCUUUAUAGGGUCACUGCAGCUACAUAUGCUGUUUGCAAAGAAGAAGUAGUUCCACCACCAAUCACAAGAACUACAACUUAUGUGAUUAUACGUUCUAAAGUGUGGAAUUAGCUCAUUAACUUACUCUCUGUCCUUUAAUAUUAAAACACGACCCAGUUCAGUCUCCCAGUAUCUUCAGCUCCACUGUCCCUCAUCCAUCUGUCAGCUUCUUUUAUCGAUCACGUCAUUUUACACCAAGAAGCAAAGUACAUCCCUUCGAUUUUCUCCAGCAAUCUAGUGUAAUUUUGACAUUUUUCGUGUCUCUCGGGACUCAGUCAAAGUUAGUAGUUAGUGCAUCAUAAUUAAAAGAAAAUUGGCAAUAGCUGAGCCCAGAGAGAAGAAAGGAGGAUAAGGAUGAGACGGGAGCUGAAGCCGAGCAAUGUCCCUGUAAGAGAAGCUUCUAAUGUCACGUUGAGGCUCUGCAGCUUUAUAAUAAUAAUAAUAAUAACAACAAUAAUAAUAAAAAUAUAAUUAGAAACAUACAUAAUUAGGUGAUUGGCAAAAUAAAUAACACAGGGAGGAAAUGAGUUUACAAAAAAAGUCUAUAUAUUAGGUCGUAAGAUGUUUGUUAAUAAAUGUUAAAAUAAAACUGAGCAAAACAAUGUCAGGUAAUAUUUAGGAAUGAAGGGAAACUCAGAUUGCUGAGUUACCAUUUAUUCCUCCCGUAAGACGCCUCCAGAAGGUUUGGGCUCAAAAACUACAACUACUGCUUCUUGGCUUCCUCUGUACCUGCCCCAGCAAUUGUCGGGCUGAGAGGGGGCGGGGCCAGGCUAAAAGGGGGCGGAGCCAGACGGUUGGAGCGCAACCAUCAACUGCAAUGGCGCAUCCUGCUGUGGCCUGAAUGUCCCCCUGUAGAUUAUUUAAUAGACAGCGAGUUCUUCAGCACAGUCCGAUAUUUGUGGUUAAUUGUAUGAGACAGACUUCAGCGCCGACGAGUUUGGAGGAGGAUGAGGCUGCCUGUAAGGAACCGGCACUCGCAACUGAGAGCUGAGAGCCGGCGUCGGGCAGAGCCACAGCCGGAUGCAUCGCGUCUCUGCAGGACAGACCAGAAAAAACAGCUGGGACAGAAUGGUCAACUGAACACUGAGCAAUAUUGGCUUCACCGCUGCUGAUUCCACUUGGAUGAAGUUGUGCAUUGUACUGCUGAUGGGGGAACGUGUUUUAUGGAUCAUUAGAUUUGUGCCGCUUUGAACAUAGCAGCAGUUGAACCUAGCUUCAGGAUGCCAAGGACAAACCAUAAACAACAACUGGGACAGAACAGUGGAAUGAGCACUGAAGAGACCUGGGAGCUGCAGCGGGUCGUGGACCUGUGAUGCCGAGGAUGCCGUUCUGGUGCUGACGCCCGCUGUGGGCUGAUGCUGCAAGGGCAUCGGUUAAAAGGAGCUGCUCAUGCCUCUGCGAAGGUUCCAGAUCCAAACACUGAUUGGCCCGGAGCUACUGGACCUCAGGGACAUUUGACUGGUCUCAGCACUGUAAAGAGCUGGAGCCGGAGGGAGGGAGGCGGCUGCAGGACGCGGCGGCUGCAGGACCAGUGGCUGCAGGAGGCGGCGGCUGCAGGACCAGUGGCUGCAGGAGGCGUGGCUGCAGGACCAGCGGCUGCAGGACGCGGCGGCUGCAGAACCAGCGGCUGCAGGAGGCGGAUGCAGGACCAGUGGCUGUAGGACGCGGCGGCUGCAGAACCAGCGGCUGCAGGAGGCGGCUGCAGAACCAGCGGCUGCAGGAGGCGGCUGCAGAACCAGCGGCUGCAGGAGGCGGAUGCAGGACCAGUGGCUGCAGGAGGCGGCAGCUGCACAACCAGCGGCUGCAGGAGGCGGCUGCAGGACGCGGCGGCUGCAGAACCAGUGGCUGCAGGACCAGUGGCUGCAGAACCAGUGGCUGCAGGACCAGUGGCUGCAGAACCAGCGGCUGCAGGAGGCGGAUGCAGGACCAGUGGCUGCAGGACGCGGCGGCUGCAGAACCAGCGGCUGCAGGACGCGGCGGCUGCAGGUCAGGCUCCACUGCACCUGCUCCAGUGUAUCUGCCGGCCACAAGCCGGCGCUCUGGGAUACAAACGUAAACUUCUGCACAUUCAGGUGUCAGUGUUUCCUGAUGAGCUCGGCCCCUGCGGGUCCGAGGACCUGGCUGCUGCGGGUCUGGGCACUGGGCAGCGUUGCUGACUCAGGUUGAGGCGCUGG